UCUGGUGGUUAGAGCGGGGUGGAACCACCCGUUCCCAUCCCGAACACGGAAGUGAAACGCCCCAGCGCAGACGAUACUGGGGGGUUACCCCUGGGAAAAUAUGCCACUGCCAGGA
rnacentral:rRNA from 1 species